rnacentral:rRNA from 1 species
UACCUGGUUGAUCCUGCCAGUAGUGUAUGCUUAUCCUAAAGACUAAGCCAUGCAUGCCUUCGAAUAAGAGGAAGCAAUUCUCUCUGAAUCUGCGAACGGCUCCGCAAACCAGUUGUAAACUAUAGCAAGCAAGCUCGUGCCCUUCACCGGGKGCGGGCAACAUGGAUAACCCUGGUAAUUCUGAGGCUAAUACAAGAUUGUACUACUUGGCUAACCGGGCAASUGGAAGGCUGGGAGGUGUGUGAUUUAGCACGAGGAAUNUGSUGGGAAUAGACACACGCCUGGACCGCGCCAAAAACAGAUGGGGCUUCCCGCAAGGGUCGUCCUGCUUGAGCGGCUCUUGCUUUGUGCUUUUGACCUAUCAACUAGAUGGCAGCGUAACGGACCUGCUAUGGUGACAACGGGUACAGAGGAUAAGGGUUCGAUCCUGGAGAGUGGGCCUGAGAGAUUGCUCAUACUUUUAAGGAAGGCAGCAGGCGCGCAACGUUCCCCUUGUACAAUGUAUGAGGGCGUUAGGGGACAUAUGAAUGUCUGCCCUAUGGGUGACAUCAAUGU